rnacentral:lncRNA from 1 species
GCCUCGGCCUCCCAAAGUGCUGGGAUUACAGCCGUGAGCCACUGCACCCGGCCUAGAGUGAGGUUCUUAAGGAGACAGUUCCUUUGGUAGGAGAUGUAGAAUUUGUGGCACUCAGUGCAUGUAAAAACUCCUUCCCAAGAAGAAUGGAUAGGCCUGGAUUUAUCAUUGGGGUGAGCCAAAGGAAUGGCUCAGGAAGUGCCAAGCCCUGGCUCAGGUUGCUGUAGAGCUACUGUUUGUCUGCCCCAUUAACUCCCCAUGCAAGUUCAUUAGAAGCCAGGCCAUCAAGUAGCCACUGGAAUUGUGUGCCAUAAACCUCAUCUGGAAAGAAAAUGGAAGCUGUACAUUCCAACCCAUUUUGUGCACUACUGCAAGGGGGUCUAACCCCUGGAAGUGUUUGUGCACUUGUUUAAAACCAUCUCUUUGUUCUGUGAUCUACGGAGACUCACAUAUGACUAGUCCCUUCUGCUCCCAGGUCUAAGAGGUUUAGGAUGGAAUCCUUUGGGAGAUAACUGUAAAAAACUGAAGCACUUGAUGCUUGGCAUAAGCCUCUUCUGGGGAGAAACAAGGAGCUGCAUUUCUAUAGCCCCUUCUCUGCACUGCUUCCAGGGGAUAAAGCCCCUGGUAAUGCUUGCAUAUGAAACCACUACUUUUUUCUGUGGACUAGAGAGACUCAAAUAUGCUUAGAUCCCCUCUGUUACUAGAGCUAGAAGAUUUAGGAUGCAGUUCCUCAGAUGGAAACUGUAAACAUUGGGGUGCUUGUGUGGACAGUCUCCUUCCAGAAGGGAUUAAUAGACCUGGAGUUAUUGCUGGAGUGAACCAGGAAAGAAGGCUUGGGAAGUGCCAAUCUGCUUAUCAGGCUGCCGGCAGGCUUCUAUUUUGUCUGCCUCUUUAACUCCCUGAUGCAAGUUAGUUAAAAGCAAGGCUGUCAAGUAGCCACUGAAAGAGCGUGUCAUAAACCCCUUCUGGGGAGAAAGAGGGAUGCAUUUUUUAAGCCCCUUCUCUGCGUUCUUCCCGGGAGAUGCAGCCUCUAGCAGUGCUUGUGCAUCUAUAAAACUGCCAGUUUUCUCCUGUGGUCUAGAGAGACUUGUGUAUGCCUGAUUCCCUCUACUCUCAGAUUUGGUGGAUUAAGAAACCAACCGUAGAGAAGUUACAUGUUGGAGAUUCCUUUCCCAGUUUUAUAGCACAGUGCCCAGAAUGCUAUCCAUGCCUGAGUGUGGCUUGGCUUCUCCUACCCACUCAAUGUGGAUGUUUUCUCAGUUGCCCAGUGGGUGUCUCUCGACUGGUCCCUGAUUUUCUCUCAAAGGGAAUUGAUCUGUAAAUAGAUGUUGAUUUCAUGUAUCUGUGAGUGGAGGAGAGUCUGGAAAUUCCUAUUCCACCCUGUUGCUGACAUCAUUCCUUCCUGUAUAUCUAAUUGAUCACCAAGUUCGGUCAGCAGUACCCCUCUUAAAUCUCUUCCUCAUGUCUCCAUCUCCUUUGGUGUAAUUUGGAGCAUUAUCAUAUAUAUUUCCCCAACUCUGGUUCUUCCCCAUCACCAGUAAGUCCUCCCUCACCAUGGGGACACCUUGUUAAAGAGGAAACUCAGUCACAUUCCCUGGUCUGUUUAAAUCCCUUGAGCAUCCACCCCUUAGCCACUUCAACAGCUUUCCUACUGCCAUCCCUCCUUAUAACCCCCACUUCAGCCUAAACAUACCUUAUAACUACACUCAUGCUUCUAACUGGAUUACCACUUUCCCUCUACAACUACUCAUAUUUAAAGAUGCUGUUCAAAAGUCAGGUCAUCUGUAAUGUUUUAUUCUGUAAUACCCAGGCAAUUAGUUGCUGCUUCAUCCGUUUUUCUCUCAUAGUACAUUGCAUAUUUCCUUAUCAUAGUUUAUGCAAUUGUAUUGUAUCAUAUAACUGUUUAUUAAUGUAUAUGUCUUCUUCUAAGGCAGAAUUAUCUACUGCCACAUAGUAGAUGCUAAAUAAAUGUUUGCUCAAUGAAGACCUUUCUCACUUCUCCAGAUUUCUGUAGUGAGUUAGAGACUUAGGAAAGGCAGAGUCACCAGGGAUUUUGGCUGCCAGAAAAACUAGCUCUUCAUAUUAUCUGGCUUUACUUCUGCUCCCAUCCUCUGUACUAAAACUCUUCCUUCUUCUCGAUGUAGCUUCAUUCUUAGAAGUCUGUCCCUUGGCCAGGUGCAGUGGCAUUGUGGCAUUUAACCUGCCCUAGUUCCAUGCCCCACAUUCCAAGAAAUGCAAGAAACAAGAAAGUAUAGCCUAUAUGUGGGGGGAAAAUAUCAACAAAAAAUCGUCCCUGGGGUAGCUCAGACAUUAGACUUACUAGACAAAGACGUUAAAUCAGCUAUUUUAAGUAUG